rnacentral:rRNA from 1 species
GAUUCUGGCUCAGAACGAACGCUGGUGGCGUGUCUAUACAUGCAAGUCGAGCGAGGCAGCAAUGCCGAGCGGCGAACGGGUGAGUAACGCGUAAGCAAUCUGCCCCAUAUCAGGAAAUACCCGUGCCAACGCACGGUUAAUGUCCAGGAGAGUGGCCCUCCGCAUGGAGGGUUGACUAGAGAUUUAUCGGUAUGGGAUGAGCUUGCGUCCGAUUAGCUAGUUGGCGGGGCAACGGCCCACCAAGGCGACGAUCGGUAGCCGGCCUGAGAGGGUGAUCGGCCACAUUGGGACUGAGAUACGGCCCAGACUCCUACGGGAGGCAGCAGUAGGGAAUAUUGCACAAUGGGGGAAACCCUGAUGCAGCAACGCCACGUGUGGGAAGAAGCAUUUCGGUGUGUAAACCACUGUCAUGAGGGAAUAAGGCCCGCCUUCGGACGGGAUUGAAUGUACCUUGAGAGGAAGCACCGGCAAACUUCGUGCCAGCCGCAGC